rnacentral:rRNA from 1 species
CGGGAAUUUUGGGCAAUGGGCGAAAGCCUGGCCCAGCAACGCCGCGUGAGGGAUGAAGUAUUUCGGUAUGUAAACCUCGAAAGAAUGGGAAGAAUAAAUGACGGUACCAUUUAUAAGCUCCGGCUAACUACGUGCCAGCAGCCGCGGUAAUACGUAGGGAGCAAGCGUUGUUCGGAUUUACUGGGCGUAAAGGGCGCGUAGGCGGCGCGGUAAGUCACUUGUGAAAUCUCUGAGCUUAACUCAGAACGGCCAAGUGAUACUGCUGUGCUAGAGUGCGGAAGAGGCAACCGGAAUUCUUGGUGUAGCGGUGAAAUGCGUAGAUAUCAAGAGGAACACCUGAGGCGAAGGCGGGUUGCUGGGCCGACACUGACGCUGAUGCGCGAAAGCCAGGGGAGCAAACG